ACGCUCGACACCUACUGGAGGCAGCAGUGGGGAAUAUUGCACAAUGGGGGAAACCCUGAUGCAGCGACGCCGCGUGAGUGAAGAAGUAUUUCGGUAUGUAAAGCUUUAUCAGCAGGGAAGAAGAUGACGGUACCUGAGUAAGAAGCCCCGGCUAACUACGUGCUAGCAGCCGCGGUAAUCUGAGCGGGCUGGCAAGGC
rnacentral:rRNA from 1 species